GGGUUUGAUCCUGGCUCAGGAUUAACGCUGGCGGCAUGCCUAACACAUGCAAGUCGAGUGUCCAAUGUUUUGCAUUGGUAGCACGGCGGACGGCUGAGUAACGCGUGGGUAUCUACCUUCAAGUUGAGGAUAAUCCCGGGAAACCGGGAAUAAUACUCAAUAGUUCCCUCCGGGGUAAAGAUUUAUCGCUUGAAGAGGAGCCUGCGUCCGAUUAGCUUGUUGGUGAGGUAACGGCUCACCAAGGCUCUGAUCGGUAGGGGACCUGAGAGGGUGACCCCCCAGACUGGGACUGAGAUACGGCCCAGACUCCUACGGGAGGCAGCAGUGGGGAAUUUUGCACAAUGGGCGAAAGCCUGAUGCAGCAAUGCCGCGUGGAGGAAGAAUGCCUUCGGGUUGUAAACUCCUUUUGUCUGUGAAGAUUAUGACGGUAGCAGACGAAUAAGAGCUUGCUAACUACGUGCCAGCAGCAGCGGUAAUACGUAGAGCUCAAGCGUUAUCCGGAUUGAUUGGGCGUAAAGGGUCCGCAGGCGGAUUUGUAAGUUCAACGUUAAAGACUCCAGCUCAACUGGAGGAAAGUGUUGGAAACUACAAGUCUAGAGGUCGGGAGAGGUUGAUGGAACUUCUGGAGUAGGGGUAAUAUCCGUAGAUACCAGAAGGAACACCCAAGGCGAAGGCAGUCAACUGGCCCGAUUCUGACGCUCAGGGACGAAAGCGUGGGGAGCGAACGGGAUUAGAUACCCCGGUAGUCCACGCCCUAAACGAUGGAUACUAGGCAUUGGUGGCAUCGACCCCCUCAGUGCCGAAGCUAACGCGUUAAGUAUCCCGCCUGGGGAGUACGGUCGCAAGACUAAAACUUAAAGGAAUUGACGGGGAGCCGCACAAGCGGUGGAGCAUGUGGUUUAAUUCGAUGCUAAGCGGAGCACCUCACCCAGACUUGACAUCCUGACGAAAGCUUGGUAGAAAUACUAGCCCUCCUUUUGGACGUCAGUGACAGGUGCUGCACGGUCGUCGUCAGCUCGUGUCGUGAGAUGUAUGGUUAAGUCCGAUAACGAGCGCAACCCCUAUGCUGUGUUGUAUUUUUCACAGUAGACUGCCGUGGUUAACACGGAGGAAGGUGGGGAUGACGUCAGAUCUGCGUGGCCCUUAUGUCUGGGGCAACACACGUGCUACAAUGGGCGGGUCACAAUGGGUUGCUAAGUCGCGAGACGGAGCUAAUCCCACCAAAACCGUCCUCAGUUCGGAUUGGAGGCUGCAACUCGCCUCCAUGAAGUUGGAAUCGCUAGUAACCGCAAAUCAGCUCGUUGCGGUGAAUACGUUCUCGGCUCUUGUACACACCGCCCGUCAUACCACGAAAGCGAGGGGCAUCCGAAGUCUCUAUUUAUAGGGCCUAAGGUGAAACUCGUGAUUGGGGUAAAGUCGUAACAAGGUAGCCG
rnacentral:rRNA from 1 species